CGCAACUUUGCUGCUUAUUUACAGACGAAGAGACUGAGGACUGGGCAGACCACACUGGGCAUCUCCAGUGGGGUGCCUCCCUCCCCAGUGUCAAGGCUCCAACCAGGGAGGGGGUGCGGAGGAGGCGGCCCCGUGGAGGAGCUGGUGUGAGGAACCUUAUGUCCCUCAUCAUAUUCCAGUAAGAAGACAUAGCUAAAAGAAUGAGGAGAAGAUGUCCUCAGAUAUAGCUAAAAGAAUGAGGAGAAGAUGUCCUCGCAGGUCCUGGCAGAGCACCUUCACAGGAUGCCGGCUAAGAUACCCAUGGCUGGGAGCUUUCGCCAUACGUCGGUGAUGUUACUGGGUCCAGCACAGAUGCUCCAAGAGACUCUUCAAAUCUCUUGCGAAGACAUGUUCGAGGGGCAACAUGGUGACCUAAAGUUCAUUGAAAGAGUCUACAGCCAACUUAUGGUAAUAGCUAAACGACAUAAACACCACCACAUCCUAGUCACUGUUGUGUGUGGUCAUGAAGUUUUCAUUUCAUGUAAUUUGAGUCUUCUCAAUAAAGGUGAUUCACUAAA